GAUGAACGCUGGCGGCGUGCCUAAUACAUGCAAGUCGAGCGAACAGACGAGGAGCUUGCUCCUCUGACGUUAGCGGCGGACGGGUGAGUAACACGUGGAUAACCUACCUAUAAGACUGGGAUAACUUCGGGAAACCGGAGCUAAUACCGGAUAAUAUAUUGAACCGCAUGGUUCAAUAGUGAAAGACGGUUUUGCUGUCACUUAUAGAUGGAUCCGCGCCGCAUUAGCUAGUUGGUAAGGUAACGGCUUACCAAGGCAACGAUGCGUAGCCGACCUGAGAGGGGGAUCGGCCACACUGGAACGGAGACACGGUCCAGACUCCUACGGGAGGCAGCAGUAGGGAAUCUUACGCAAUGGGCGAAAGCCUGACGGAGCAACGCCGCGUGAGUGAUGAAGGUCUUCGGAGCGUAAAACUCUGUUAUGAGGGAAGAACAAAUUUGUAAGUAACUAUGCACGGCUUGACGGUACCUAAUCAGAAAGCCACGGCUAACUACGUG
rnacentral:rRNA from 1 species